rnacentral:misc_RNA from 1 species
AAAUAAAUAAAUAAAUAAAACCACAUAUUAGAAUUUGAAGUCGCUGAAUAGCACAAACUGACUUGGCAUGAUCUAUGACAUAACAUAUUAUGUUGGCAGAAGCUAAAUAAAACUAUAAUAGCACAUGUCCACAAAUUCUAACAACUGUCAAAUUCGUAGGUCUUUGCUAAGGACAAAUAAUAAUGGCUAAAAGCCAAAAUGUCAAAUUCAUAGGUCUUUGCUGUUGUGAAAGAGUUGCCUACCAUGUUGGGCUUUUUGAACAGGUAUCAACAUCAUAUCUACAGCUUAAGAACAAAUACAACAACUGAUGCCUAAAAUAUAACUGCAUGUAUCAGAUGCCAUAAGCACAGAGUGGUCCCAGUACCACAGUUUGCUCAUUCACCAAUUCUUCUCCUGUUUUAAGACUCCAAACACGUCAAAGAAAUAGCACCAAAAAUGGUGCACUCAAGAAGCAAAACUUAAAUCAUCAGCAAAAGGAUCACCAAAUAAGAGAAAUCAAAACUAAAGUACAAGUAA